GCUGUCACUGGGGCCAUCACCAGCUUGUUGCACAAGCAGCUGUGCAAGCUGUCACUAGGGGCAUCCACAGAGAGCCCCAGCCCUACCACAGUCAGACUCGGACAAAUGGACCAUGUCUGCAGCAACCAUGCUCUUCCUUUUCCUGCUGGCCCUCCAGCCUGGCCUGAAGCAGGAUCACCAGAUGGAUGUGGCUACAGCCAAGGACAUGCUGGAGCGUGAAGUGCAUCUGCGUCAGGAGAUGAUCCGUCUGCUGCAGGAGAUGGAGGAGAGGAAGAAGGAAGCCACGUUCCUUUCUACAUUGCAGCAGCAGUGGCCGUGUUGGAUCACUGCAGUGACCCUGGCCCUGCUCACUGUGGUCUGGUGUCACAACAGGCAAAGGAAGCCUCAGGAGUCUCCUCAGACAUUCAGAGCCUGCUGCUCUGAUCUCCCACCAGACGUCUCUGAGAUUGAAAUCAGGCUGAUACUUAGCGAUCACGAUGAUUCCGGAAGCUGAAGCAAGAAGGCCUCAUCAACAGUCCCUAGUCUAUGAAUGUUUGAAUCAUUUGUGCACCUUUACAAGAUCAAAUAGAUCUAUGCAGAUCCAGAAGGCACUGAUAAAUCUGCCAAUAGACUCCUCUCUUUGGAAUAAUAUAAUAUAUUAUAAUAUAAUAU